CGUGUUGUAGCUCAGUUGGAAGAGCGGCGGCUUGAAAACCCGCAGGCCCAGGUUCGGCUCCUGGCAUCACGGC
rnacentral:tRNA from 3 species